rnacentral:rRNA from 1 species
UACGUAGGGUGCGAGCGUUAAUCGGAAUUACUGGGCGUAAAGCGUGCGCAGGCGGUUUUGUAAGCCAGAUGUGAAAUCCCCGGGCUUAACCUGGGAAUGGCAUUUGGGACUGCAAGGCUCGAGUGCGGCAGAGGAGACUGGAAUUCCUGGUGUAGCAGUGAAAUGCGUAGAUACCAGGAGGAACACCCGUAGCGAAGGCGGCACUCUGGGCCGAUACUGACACUGAGGAGCGAAAGCGUGGGGAGCGAACAGG